rnacentral:misc_RNA from 1 species
AAGUUAAAAUAGUUAGCAUACUACUAAUAAACAAUAAUAACAUAAUAUUUUAAUGGACAGUGUGCAGAGGAACUACACAACCCCUCCAAAGAAAAGAGAAAGCAGAGCAGGGCAGUACAAAAGCCAACAUGCACACUAGAGGGUCACCAUGGGCGUAUGAAAUUUCAUGUUAAAACAAAGCAAACAUGGCAAAACAUCAGCCCAAAGCUUACAGAUGCACAAAGAGAGUUGAG